rnacentral:rRNA from 1 species
GACGUAGGAUGCAAGCGUUGUCCGGAUUUAUUGGGCGUAAAGAGUUCGUAGGCGGUGAUUCAAGUCUAAUGUGAAAUAAUAGGGCUCAACCCUAUUCCCGCAUUAGUAACUGGAUUACUAGAGUAAGGUAGGGGUCGAGAAGAAUUCCUGGUGUAGCGGUGAAAUGCGUAGAUAUCAGGAGGAACACCGGUGGCGAAGGCGUCUGACUGGG